GCGCUUGAAAAAAAAAACACCCCCGAGUCAAGCGACAGCGCCUCCCAUCCCCAUCUCGAUCCGCCGCCUCCCCGCCGCCGGCCCGCAUCCUCCACCGCGCCAUCCGCCCCGCACUGCUGCCUGCCUUCCCUCCGCCGCGCCCUCCUCCCCGUGCACGGUUCGCCGACGCCGAGGCCCAGGCUGCCGCGCUCCGGGCCCGCGCCGGCUGGCUCGAGCGCAUGCCGCCAACCGCGACGGGCUGCUCGACACGCUCCUCGCCGCCACGGGCAACGGACGGUAGGACGAGGAGAGGGAGGUGGAGGCAGCGGAGGAGCCGGUAGGAUGACGAGAGGAAGGUUGAGGCGGCGGAAGAGCCAGUAGGAGUAGGAGGGGGAAGUGGAGGCAGCGGAGGAGGAGACGGGGAUGACGGGGACAGAUCGGCUACACGCCGGAGGACGAGGGCAUCGCACGGCCUACCGAUUCCUUCCUCCCCGUGCCCUGGUUACAAGGCCGUCGCUGCCGUCGCCCAACACCAACCGCCUUGCCCCGAUUAGCUCUUGGAGAUGCGGACGACAGGAUGUGCUCCAGCGCCGCCGCCUACGAGCGCCUCCCAGACGAUGAGUCGACAACAAAGCUCGGGGACGUGAUAUGGCGCUCGGUGUAGGUGGCCAUGGUGGACCUGAAGAAGCUGGCUGAGAUAAGCGAUGGGAACGACUAUGUUCAGCCACUAUCAGACUUUGGUGGUGUACCCCGGCUGCCAAACCAUGCUUUGCCAACCUACUAGAGGAAAGGCGAGGCUCACCAAGGGAUGAUCCUUCCACCGGAAGGGUAAUUAAUUUGCAUGCCUGAUUAUCGAAAAAAGAAGCCCUUCUGAACAUUACUUAUCCUCGAUGAGGGGAGACCGGCCAAAAGAGGAGCAAGCAAAUGAUAAGUUCGUACUCAACAUUUUGACAUUCAACAUGUAUGUACUACAAUUUCAGAAGGUCAAUAAUACCCAAUGCAUUGCCUUCCAUGAACUUUGCCAGCGGAAGAAGAAUAUCCGUCGAGCCGUCCAUCUCUUGAGGCGGCUACACCGGAGGUGGCAGAGGCGUCCGAUCGAACUCAGGUAGAGGCCGGAGGUUUGUUUCUCGGACAUGCCAGCAAUCACUCUCGAUGACACCAAUAAUGUGACGUCAUGAUUCGUGAAGGCCACCACAACUCAUCUUCAAGACCUCCUCUGCUAUCGUGUGUCGCGUUGUGCUCGUGCUAUUCCUAAUUUGGAUCAAUUGUAGACCGUGUCCUUGUAGAACACAAUUCAAUGGAGUGCCCAACCCGGAUUGUUGCUCUCUGCUAUAAGAAGGAAGGGUAGUCGGCUGGAAUCUCCAUCAUGUCAAUUUUGCACGAAACAUCCAAUGUCUUCGCCGAGUUCGUUGGAGGAAGAAGCAUCGAGUUCGCCGGAGGUACAAGAACAUCCGUCGAGCACUCCAAUGUCACCUGCAGCGGCUACACCAGAGGUCCUUAAGAUGAGUGAUGAACAUCCGUCAAGCCAUCCAAUGUUGCAUGUGGCGGCUACACCAGAGAAGGAAGCAGAAAUAGGCGUCCUGACAGUCAGCGACACCAAGAUAACCACAGGCGGCAUGGCCGUCAGCCCGACACCAAGGUUCUGGCUCCCACGGUCGGUCAACUUGACUCUGCUACAGGACAGCCACAUGGGCAUCGCACUGACUCGAAGACCACAUGCAUGUGGAGCAUGA
rnacentral:rRNA from 1 species